rnacentral:misc_RNA from 1 species
UUGUUUAUCUCUGCUUGUUAUGAUGAUUCUACUUCCAGCACCAAACCAAGUAUGCUUUCCAGCUAAAGCUUCUACUUGUUCAAAUGUGUCUACGUCAUCAAGAACAAUAAGAGCCCUUACAUGGCGAAGCUGCUUCCUCACAAAAGAUGGUCUCGAGUUUGACGUGCUCAUGCUUGUAUUUCCUUCAUUCAAUACAUUAACAAGAAUUUCAUCUCGUAAUUUUGUUAAACCAUGUUUUGUUGAUUCUUCUCUAACAUUUUCAACAAAGCAACAUCCUUCAAAAUGACAAUAGCUUUUGUCAAAUAUAAGUCUAGCAAUAGUUGUCUUUCCGAUACCACCCAUUCCCCAUAGGCCGACAAUUCUAAUGUCUGGUGUCCCAAUUUGCAAUAAUGAUUCCACAUUUUCAAUUUGUGAUUGUAUUCCAACCAGGUCCUCUACAUAAUCUAAGCAUGGAUGUCCCAAUUUUUUCAAAAUAUCCUUUACAAUUUCUUCAACGAGUAUGGACUCUGGCCCAGUGUUUUUUGAAUCCCAUCCACAUAAAUAGGCAGCUUCAUUCAAAGAGGUCCUCCACUCUUGGAUCUUGUUCUUAUCCACCUUCACAUCUUCUUCAUAUUUUUUAAAAGCUUCUCCAAAACUUCUGGUUUGAUGUUUUACGUCAGCUGGAUCAACUUUGUAGAAAAUAGGCAAAACCUUUUGCUUGCCUUGUUUCUUGCGUUUCAUACAUUCUACCAGCUCAUUUAAGCACCAUCGCGAAUCUGCAUACUUUUCAGAGAAUAUGAUCACAGAGAUGCUUGAUCCCCUAAUUGCUUCAACAAGUGAUUGCUCAAGCUCUUCUCCUCUAUCGAUUCUAUAGUCUAUGAAAGUCCGAAUUCCUCGACGAACCAAAGCUGUGUGGAGAUGGCUGGUGAAGUUGUCACGGGUGUCUCCUCUGAAACUUAGGAAUACGUCAUAUUUUACUAAAUCGAGUGAAGAAGAAGAAGAAGAAGCCAUAGUGAUGCUUCACAAAACAACCAAGAAAGGAUGCAUUUUAUAAUUAGUAAAGUAAACUGAUAAUAUGGGAAAGCUUCCCUGCAUUCUCCUUUGGCAGACAAAAUACCAAAAAGUCAGGGCAACAAGAAUUGAGGUCUUCUCUCUCUAGCGAUAGAGAGAGAAUUUUUCUCUAAAAGUUUCUGGCUGAUUUGAG